CCCUUAGAUGUUCUGGGCCGCACGCGCGCUACACUGAUGCAUUCAACAAGCCUAGCCUUGACCGAGAGGUUCGGGUAAUCUUUGAAACUGCAUCGUGAUGGGGCUAGAUUAUUGCAAUUAUUAAUCUUCAACGAGGAAUGCCUAGUAAGCGUGAUUCAUCAAAUCGCGUUGAUUACGUCCCUGCCCUUUGUACACACCGCCCGUCGCUCCUACCGAUUGAAUGUGUUGGUGAGGAGCUCGGAUUGGCAGCAGUUGGUGGUUCGCCACCGGCUAUUGCUGAGAAGUCCUCCAAACCGCCCCAUUUAGAGGAAGGAGAAGUCGUAACA
rnacentral:rRNA from 1 species